rnacentral:lncRNA from 1 species
GUGUGUGUGUGUGUGUGUGCGUACGCCCAGGAGCAAGAACAAGUGGUUCCAAACCCUAGUUCAACAAAUCGAUCAAAUUGAAGCACAAAUCAAGAGCCAAAUCAAUGCAUGAACACAAAUUAGUGAUCACCUCAGUGAAAUGAUCAUAAGUUUGACGCCUAACGAGCUAGGUGGAGGCUUGGGAAAGGAAGCGGGUCAAACAAAUCAAGAAUGGAGGAAAAACACAAUUCGGAUGCAAGGUAAGUAAAGCUUACAUUCUAGUUAUUUGAUACCUAUUGGUUUGAUAGGUCGUGAAUAAUAAGUCUUGUUUUAAAUUAUGAUGUUCCGACACGGCAAGUGCGGUCCGGAACAAAAGACAAUGGUCAUAAAUCAUGUUUAAUGGAUAAAAAGGAGCUAAUGCGGUUAAUUAGUCAUGAAAUGACUAAAAGAUAAUGAGUUUUUAAAUGGUUACCUUAUAAGGUAAACCAUUGCAAAUAAUAAGGGUAAAAUGGUACUUUGGUCAUUUGUGGACAACAACCGUUUAAUUGGGGAAAGACACAUUAUAGCUUGGGUCAUAAUGGGUCAAAGAAAUCAAUAAAUGAUUUACAAGUAGAACGACUAUACGGUGUAAACCGAAGUUAGUCAUAUAGAUAAGAUGGUAAUAAAUGCCACCUCAUAGAGUUUCAUGGUCCUUUAGACCAAACGUGUCAAAAUGUGAAAUUAUCACCCUUUGACAAUAUUGACUAAUAGUUGUUGAGCUAUGUGAUUAUAGAAAUAAAUAUCGGAUGGAUAUGUACAUCGUUAUCGCUUAGCGGCUACUAAGGCAAGGUAUCGAAACGAAUCAAUAUAUUGAUUCGAGCCAGGUAUGUAUAAUUGGUCAAAUCAUCUUUAGAACUUGAAGUUCAAUGAGGGCUAAACAAGUUAAAAUGGACAUUGGGUUAUCUUUUAAGUAAACCGAAUGAUUUAAAUUAUUGUCAUUGUGUUUUAAGAACAUGAUGUCUAUUUAAACAAGAUCCUAGUUCAAACAGUGGAAUUUUGGUCAAUUUCGACAUGAAAAGUCCUUGUUGUAAAGAAAGGGUUUAAGAUGACUAAAACGCCCUCGUAAGCAAAAUCGAGUAAAUGAACUUUAAGAGUCGUUUAAAAACAAGUUAUAUGAUCAAGUAAAUACUUUGAAUAAGUAUAGAGAAUGAAAAGGGUAAAUCUUGGGUCAAAAGACUCAAUAUGAGUCUUUGUCGUAAAUUAGCAAUCCGACGAGAAAAACUCGGAUUAUAUAGAUCAUCUCAUUGAGCUCACCACAAAUUUAGUUGUGGUUGAAGAUCUCAUAAUAAGUGAUGUGGUGUAAUAACGCUAGAAACGAAUGAAAGCGUUUCAUCCUCAAAAUAUGCCUAAAUACCCUUAACGGGUCAAAUUACGCAUAUGAGCGUAAACGGGUUUAAGAUACGUAAGAAACCCGUGACUUGAACCUAAUAUGAUAGGAAUUAUUGAAAUUAUGAUUACCGUGAGAAUAAGGAUCAAACAAACAUGUUUCGUUUGAUAAAAACAUGAACGGGUCAAAACUACGGCAAAUUGGAAAAAUUAGAUGCAGGGUCCACCGUAAAUUACGGUGACACCGUAAUUUACGGUGGAGCUGAUAUGGUUACGGUGGUAACCUACUGUUGUACGGUAGAGGGAUAUGAAUACAGGAGCCACCGUAAAUUACAGUGACACCGUAAUUUACGGUGGAGAUGAUUUUCAAGUUCUUGUUUUCUUUUGAUAAUCAAUUGUUUCCCGGACUCGUUUGGACAUGAUUUAAACCCCGUAAGACUAAAGCAUUUCAUGUUUAUGAAAUGUAGGUACACUAUGGGAUGCCGGAAGACGAUCAAGCUCAACGAAGAACCGAACACGAUAAAGAUACACGCUUCCGCACUUUGUAACGUUGUAAAUUUUAAAACAACGAUUUCGAUUACGUUUUGUAGAAUAACUUAUGAAUUGUAAAACUUUUAGUAAACCCGUAUUUUUAUAGCAUGUGUAGUCUUAGCUACACAUCUAAUUGUUGGUAAUUAC